UUUACAAAGGCAUGCACGCAAUAAAAUAUUCGAUGUUGGAAAGUAUAUGCGAAAGACACAGUUAGGCUGUUGGCAGUUGAAGAGGAGAACAAAAAUGCAAUAUAUACAGCUCAGGAGCUUAAGCGAUUAGAUUCCAAGGUAAGAAAGGUUUUACAUAUCUCUUGUAUUUUUUUGUAAUCGAGUUUCUGAUUUAUCAUGGUCUUUUAUUCAAUAUAUAUCUUCAUAUUAUGAACUGAGCUCAUCUUGAUCGUACUAUACACAGGUUUAUUCUUGUCAUGAUGAUAAAUUUAUAUUCGCGCACAAUUUUUGUCUACCACAGUACUUAUUGAACUUGAAGCUCACAAUUGGGUUGGCUUUAAAUAGUAUACAGUUUAUAGUUUAAUAAUUAAAAAUAGAUAUGCUAUAAGUGAUAUAAAACAAACUAUUAUCUAGUCUAAUGGGUUUAGCAUAUUUGCAAAAUUGUAAUUGCAAAUAUGCUGACCCAUUAGACUAGAUAAUAGUUUGUUUUAUAUCACUUAUAGCAUAUCUAUUUUUAAUUAUUAAACUAUAAACUGUAUACUAUUUAAAGCCAACCCAAUUGUGAGCUUCAAGUUCAAUAAGUACUGUGGUAGACAAAAUUAAUAAACUCCCAGAAAGUAGCAUGGUAUAUGAAAGGUACAUCCCGACUGCUAGUUGCUCACACACUUUGAAUAUUAUUGUGUCCUCUGGCUGGAAUCGCCCCUGCGGCCCUGCAAUCCUGGUGCAAUUGCAGCAUUCUAACCAACAAAACUGAGCUACAGAGUCCAGUUGUCAAGCUGGAAUUCAUGUGUGUAUACUUGGGUACUGCUGUGUUAGUAUCGCUAAAUACCAAAAUUGAAACCUAUAACCUUUAAAACAUAUUAAUAUUUACUGAUACAUUGACAAGGCAGUAACCAGUAUAUAUACUUGUGGUUAGAGCUCGACAUUUGGACUCUGUACUGUAGCUCAGUUGUUUAGGACACUAGGCCUAUAUAUUAUUCUAAGAGAUUCUGUUGGCAUCCCACUCAUUAUAAUAGUUGAAGGGUCUUGGACAUGGAAAUUGUCGAGUGGAAAUUUAUAGACACUUAUUAUUCCAAAACAAGGAACAGCUGUGAAAAAAAGCAACUGUAGGUCCCUGGCCGGAAUUAGACCUGCGAUUCCAGUGCAGCACUCUAACCACAGAGGCCAGUUGUCGAGCUCUCUUAUGGGUUAGGGUCAUGGCAGUACCUUUUUAGUAUGAUAUAUGUAUAUAUAGUACCUUAAUUAGUAUAUAUGUAAUAUACAGUAAUGCAUGAACAGGCCUUAGUCCAGCACUGCAGCAUGGCUGCAGGUUCAAUUCCUGCCAGUGACCUAUAGUUGCUUUUCUCACAGUUAUUCCUGAUUAGAUCUAAUAAAUGUUUAUAAAGUUCCACUCAAUAAUUUUGAUGUAAAAGUCUAAGACCUCUCACAUAUCAAUCUAACUAACUAAUGAUUAAACCUACCUUUUAAUUUUCUUUUCCUACAGCUAAUGAUUUAGAUUCAAAAAUUCAAUAGCAAGGAUGAAAGUGGUUUUAAUAGCAAACAACCAAGAAUUGUUCAUGUGACAAGAGCAGCAAAUUGUAGCCAGUCUAACAGUAACUGUUUAACGUGCACAGUCUGUCGAUCCUGGUGAUCAUGAGGAUUUAUCUCAAGUGGCAAAAUUAAUCUACAAAUAGUUUUAGUCACAAAACACAGGAGUUUAAAGAUUCCCAGUAAAGUGCUAAGUGUAUUUAUUAUGCCACACACAGUGCAUGGUAGUAACAUAGAACUAUCUUCAUUUGAAGCUUUGUUUGGUAGCAGGGGCAAAACUACCCCCUUUUAAUUCGGGGGUGUCUGCCAGAAUUGCCCUGCCCAAACCGAUGAUGCCCUGCAGCAAAUUUUCAUUUCUGGCCACUGUUUCCCCCAAAAUGCUGGCAAACAGAGGUGGGUGGGUGGGGAGGUGGUGGAAAAUUUUUCUGGACCACCCCCUGAACACCCCCCCCAACUCAAGUUUCGCCCCUGUUUGGUAGGGAUGCAACUACCUGAAAAAUACAAGGACAAUGUUUCGAGCGAAGGCCCUUCGUCGGGAAGUUUGUUGCGGGGUCUGGAAAAUUACACGAGCUUUUAUGAUCAUGUGACAAAAAUUAAACCAAUCAGAUGCAUUUAGUCAUAACAAAGUAUAUACAAAAAAUAUUAAUAACAAUAUAGAAUAUAUUAAUACAAUUAUACAGAAAACUACAUAUACAUCUACAAAUUAGCAUAUAUCAACACUAUGUUGUUAUUAUUUAAAGUUGCACCUCUCACUUUGUAUAGAUGUUCUUAUUCUGGGUUAGAUAUAUUAUGCUAAUUUGUAUAUAGUAUUAUUUUUACCUAACCAUAUCAUAACCUAUGUAAACCAUUGUAUUUCUUUAAAAAAAACAAGAUAUCAGUUGAUGUCCACAUCAUUAUAUUUGUGUUGUAUGCAAUGAUUUUUGCCUGCAGAUUGAUUGAGAUAAGAAAAUAAAAAGCUGAAUGUGCAAAUAAUUACUUCUGGCAAAAUGUAUUGCUUUGAAUCCCUUGUCUGUAGGUCAACAAUAAAUGCAUGCAGUGCCAGUCAAAUGGUCAUGAAAGUGGACACCUUUUUCAAACAGAUUUUUCUUCCCGUGUGAGUAAACCGUAGUACCCAGAGAAAACCUACAACACUUGGUUCAGGGUUGACUCAUUUCAAAAUUCCAACACCAAUAUUGCAAAGAGAAAUUAGAUUUUUAACUUUCACUUCACUAAAAUAUUUGAGUUGUUUCCUUUGCUAUCUGGGUAUUUAUAGAAAACCAGUCAUCAGAGAAACAUACUCUGACAUCAUGAAAUGGACAACUAUUUGGCAAUUCCCAUUACUUGUUGGUCAUUGCCAC
rnacentral:lncRNA from 1 species